AAAUUCGGAUUAAUACCCCAUAAGGUCAAUUUGAGGCAUCUCAAAUUGAUUAAAGCUCCGGCGGUUAGAGAUGGGCAUGCGUGUCAUUAGCUAGUUGGUGAGGUAACGGCUCACCAAGGCCACGAUGACUAGGGGGUCUGAGAGGAUGAUCCCCCACACUGGUACUGAGACACGGACCAGACUCCUACGGGAGGCAGCAGUGAGGAAUAUUGGGCAAUGGACGCAAGUCUGACCCAGCCAUGCCGCGUGCAGGAUGACUGCCCUAUGGGUUGUAAACUGCUUUUGUUUGGGAAGAACUCCCCGAUCGUGAUCGGGGCUGACGGUACCUUACGAAUAAGCAUCGGCUAACUCCGUGCCAGCAGCCGCGGUAAUACGGAGGAUGCAAGCGUUAUCCGGAUUCAUUGGGUUUAAAGGGUGCGCAGGCGGAAUAUUAAGUCAGUGGUGAAAUCCUGCAGCUUAACUGUAGAACUGCCAUUGAUACUGGUAUUCUUGAAUGUAGUUGAGGUGGGCGGAAUGUGUAAUGUAGCGGUGAAAUGCUUAGAUAUUACACAGAACACCAAUUGCGAAGGCAGCUCACUAAACUAUGAUUGACGCUGAGGCACGAAAGCGUGGGUAGCGAACAGGAUUAGAUACCCUGGUAGUCCACGCCGUAAACUUUGCUCACUCGCUGUUGGCGAUAGACAGUCAGCGGCCAAGGGAAACCGAUAAGUGAGCCACCUGGGGAGUACGGCCGCAAGGUUGAAACUCAAAGGAAUUGACGGGGGCCCGCACAAGCGGUGGAACAUGUGGUUUAAUUCGAUGAUACGCGAGGAACCUUACCUGGGCUUAAAUGUGAAGUGCAUUGAUUGGAAACAAUCAUUUCCUUCGGGACCCUUUACAAGGUGCUGCAUGGUUGUCGUCAGCUCGUGCCGUGAGGUGUCGGGUUAAGUCCCAUAACGAGCGCAACCCCUAUUGUUAGUUACCAGCGCGUAAUGGCGGGGACUCUAGCGAAACUGCCGGUGUAAACCGCGAGGAAGGUGGGGAUGACGUCAAAUCAGCACGGCCCUUAUGUCCAGGGCUACACACGCGUUACAAUGGCCGGUACAGCGGGCAGCUAGGCAGCGAUGUCAUGCUAAUCCCGAAAGCCGGUCCCAGUUCGGAUUGGAGUCUGCAACCCGACUCCAUGAAGGUGGAAUCGCUAGUAAUCGCGCAUCAGCCAUGGCGCGGUGAAUACGUUCCCGGGCCUUGUACACACCGCCCGUCAAGCCAUGGAAGUCUGGGGUGCCUGAAGGCCGUAACCG
rnacentral:rRNA from 1 species